rnacentral:rRNA from 1 species
CCUACGGGUCGCACCAGUGGGGAAUAUUGCACAAUGGGCGCAAGCCUGAUGCAGCCAUGCCGCGUGUAUGAAGAUGGCCUUAGGGUUGUAAAGUACUUUCAGUUGGGAGGAAGGCGUUGAUGCUAAUAUCAUCAACGAUUGACGUUACCAACAGAAGAAGCACCGGCUAACUCCGUGCCAGCAGCCGCGGUAAUACGGAGGGUGCAAGCGUUAAUCGGAAUUACUGGGCGUAAAGCGCACGCAGGCGGUCUGUCAAGUCGGAUGUGAAAUCCCCGGGCUCAACCUGGGAACUGCAUUCGAAACUGGCAGGCUAGAGUCUUGUAGAGGGGGGUAGAAUUCCAGGUGUAGCGGUGAAAUGCGUAGAGAUCUGGAGGAAUACCGGUGGCGAAGGCGGCCCCCUGGACAAAGACUGACGCUCAGGCGCGAAAGCGUGGGGAGCAAACAGGAUUAGAUACCCGGGUAGUC